CAAAGAGUCAAGUUGUUUGGGAUUGCAGCUUAAAAUGGGAGGUAAAUUUCUCCUAAGGCUAAAUAACGGCGAGAGACCGAUAGCGAACAAGUACCGUGAGGGAAAGAUGAAAAGAACUUUGAAAAGAGAGUUAAACAGUACGUGAAAUUGUUGAAAGGGAAACGAUUGAAGCCAGUCGUACCUUCGGGUAAUCAGCCUUUUGGGUGUGAUUUUGUGGAGCGUGAAGAGUUAAACGCCUUCAUGCCUGCAUAUUCGUGCACUUUGGGUGUACUUGCCCGUAUGGUUGGUUAACAUCAAUUUUGGUGGUCAUAAAAUGACUGGAGGAAUGUAGCUUCGAUCUUGUAUUGAAGUGUUAUAGCCUUCGGUAGAUGUGAUGAUCGAGAUUGAGGAUUGCAACGGAUACCCUUCGGGGCUACCUGUCUGGUCUCUGAUCG
rnacentral:rRNA from 1 species